AUUGAACGCUGGCGGCAGGCCUAACACAUGCAAGUCGAACGAGUGGCGGACGGGUGAGUAAUGUAGGGGAAACUGCCUGAUGGAGGGGGAUAACUACUGGAAACGGUAGCUAAUACCGCAUACGAUCGGAAGUGCCCAGAUGGGAUUAGAUAGUAGGGGGGGUAACGGCUCACCUGGGCGACGAUCCCUAGCUGGUCUGAGAGGAUAACCAGCCACACUGGAACUGAGACACGUUCCAGACUCCUACGGGAGUCAGCAGUGGGGAAUAUUUCACAAUGGGCGCAAGCCUGAUGCAGCCAUGCCGCGUGUAUGAAGAAGGCCUUCGGGUUGUAAAGUACUUUCAGCGGGGAGGCGUUACCCGCAGAAGAAGCACCGGCUAACUCCGUGCCAGCCGCCGCGGUAAUUC
rnacentral:rRNA from 1 species